rnacentral:tRNA from 1 species
GCCUGCGUCGCCCAAUAGGUCAGGUGCGCCGUCCUUAUAAGACGGUCUGGUGCGGGUUCAAGUCCCGCCGCAGGCACAA